rnacentral:rRNA from 1 species
AUGAACGCUAGCUACAGGCUUAACACAUGCAAGUCGAGGGGCAGCGGGAUUGAAGCUUGCUUCAAUUGCCGGCGACCGGCGCACGGGUGAGUAACGCGUAUCCAACCUUCCGUACACUCAGGGAUAGCCUUUCGAAAGAAAGAUUAAUACCUGAUGGUAUGAUGAGAUUGCAUGAUAGCAUCAUUAAAGAUUUAUCGGUGAUGGAUGGGGAUGCGUCUGAUUAGCUUGUUGGCGGGGUAACGGCCCACCAAGGCGACGAUCAGUAGGGGUUCUGAGAGGAAGGUCCCCCACAUUGGAACUGAGACACGGUCCAAACUCCUACGGGAGGCAGCAGUGAGGAAUAUUGGUCAAUGGACGAGAGUCUGAACCAGCCAAGUAGCGUGCAGGAUGACGGCCCUAUGGGUUGUAAACUGCUUUUAUAAGGGAAUAAAGUGAGUCUCGUGAGACUUUUUGCAUGUACCUUAUGAAUAAGGACCGGCUAAUUCCGUG